rnacentral:rRNA from 1 species
GGUUAAGCGACUAAGCGUACACGGUGGAUGCCCUGGCAGUCAGAGGCGAUGAAGGACGUGCUAAUCUGCGAAAAGCGUCGGUAAGGUGAUAUGAACCGUUAUAACCGGCGAUGUCCGAAUGGGGAAACCCAGUGCAAUUCGUUGCACUAUCGUUAACUGAAUACAUAGGUUAACGAGGCGAACCGGGGGAACUGAAACAUCUAAGUACCCCGAGGAAAAGAAAUCAACCGAGAUUCCCCCAGUAGCGGCGAGCGAACGGGGAGCAGCCCGGAGUCUGAAUCAGCUUGUGUGUUAGUGGAAGCGUCUGGAAAGUCGCAGGGUACAGGGUGAUACUCCCGUACACUAAAACGCACAGGCUGUGAACUCGAAGAGUAGGGCGGGACACGUGGUAUCCUGUCUGAAUAUGGGGGGACCAUCCUCCAAGGCUAAAUACUCCUGACUGACCGAUAGUGAACCAGUACCGUGAGGGAAAGGCGAAAAGAACCCCGGCGAGGGGAGUGAAAAAGAACCUGAAACCGUGUACGUACAAGCAGUAGGAGCCCACUAGUUGGGUGACUGCGUACCUUUUGUAUAAUGGGUCAGCGACUUAUAUUCUGUAGCAAGGUUAACCGAAUAGGGGAGCCGCAGGGAAACCGAGUCUUAACUGGGCGUUAAGUUGCAGGGUAUAGACCCGAAACCCGGUGAUCUAGCCAUGGGCAGGUUGAAGGUUGGGUAACACUAACUGGAGGACCGAACCGACUAAUGUUGAAAAAUUAGCGGAUGACUUGUGGCUGGGGGUGAAAGGCCAAUCAAACCGGGAGAUAGCUGGUUCUCCCCGAAAGCUAUUUAGGUAGCGCCUCGUGAACUCAUCUUCGGGGGUAGAGCACUGUUUCGGCUAGGGGGUCAUCCCGACUUACCAACCCGAUGCAAACUACGAAUACCGAAGAAUGUUAUCACGGGAGACACACGGCGGGUGCUAACGUCCGUCGUGAAGAGGGAAACAACCCAGACCGCCAGCUAAGGUCCCAAAGUCAUGGUUAAGUGGGAAACGAUGUGGGAAGGCCCAGACAGCCAGGAUGUUGGCUUAGAAGCAGCCAUCAUUUAAAGAAAGCGUAAUAGCUCACUGGUCGAGUCGGCCUGCGCGGAAGAUGUAACGGGGCUAAACCAUGCACCGAAGCUGCGGCAGCGACGCUUAUGCGUUGUUGGGUAGGGGAGCGUUCUGUAAGCCGUUGAAGGUGGCCUGUGAGGGUUGCUGGAGGUAUCAGAAGUGCGAAUGCUGACAUAAGUAACGAUAAUGCGGGUGAAAAACCCGCACGCCGGAAGACCAAGGGUUCCUGUCCAACGUUAAUCGGGGCAGGGUGAGUCGACCCCUAAGGCGAGGCCGAAAGGCGUAGUCGAUGGGAAACAGGUUAAUAUUCCUGUACUUGGUGUUACUGCGAAGGGGGGACGGAGAAGGCUAUGUUGGCCGGGCGACGGUUGUCCCGGUUUAAGCAUGUAGGCGGAUGUUCCAGGUAAAUCCGGAACGUUACUAACGCUGAGGUGUGAUGACGAGGCACUACGGUGCUGAAGUGACAAAUGCCCUGCUUCCAGGAAAAGCCUCUAAGCAUCAGGUAACAUCAAAUCGUACCCCAAACCGACACAGGUGGUCAGGUAGAGAAUACCAAGGCGCUUGAGAGAACUCGGGUGAAGGAACUAGGCAAAAUGGUGCCGUAACUUCGGGAGAAGGCACGCUGAUGGUAGGUGAAGUGACUUGCUCAUGGAGCUGAAAUCAGUCGAAGAUACCAGCUGGCUGCAACUGUUUAUUAAAAACACAGCACUGUGCAAACACGAAAGUGGACGUAUACGGUGUGACGCCUGCCCGGUGCCGGAAGGUUAAUUGAUGGGGUUAUCCUCGCGGAGAAGCUCUUGAUCGAAGCCCCGGUAAACGGCGGCCGUAACUAUAACGGUCCUAAGGUAGCGAAAUUCCUUGUCGGGUAAGUUCCGACCUGCACGAAUGGCGUAAUGAUGGCCAGGCUGUCUCCACCCGAGACUCAGUGAAAUUGAACUCGCUGUGAAGAUGCAGUGUACCCGCGGCAAGACGGAAAGACCCCGUGAACCUUUACUAUAGCUUGACACUGAACACUGGUCCUUGAUGUGUAGGAUAGGUGGGAGGCUUUGAAGUGUGGACGCCAGUCUGCAUGGAGCCAUCCUUGAAAUACCACCCUUUAAUGGCUGGUGUUCUAACGUGGGCCCGUGAUCCGGGUUGCGGACAGUGUCUGGUGGGUAGUUUGACUGGGGCGGUCUCCUCCUAAAGAGUAACGGAGGAGCACGAAGGUCAGCUAAUCCUGGUCGGACAUCAGGAGGUUAGUGCAAUGGCAUAAGCUGGCUUGACUGCGAGCGUGACGGCGCGAGCAGGUGCGAAAGCAGGUCAUAGUGAUCCGGUGGUUCUGAAUGGAAGGGCCAUCGCUCAACGGAUAAAAGGUACUCCGGGGAUAACAGGCUGAUACCGCCCAAGAGUUCAUAUCGACGGCGGUGUUUGGCACCUCGAUGUCGGCUCAUCACAUCCUGGGGCUGAAGUAGGUCCCAAGGGUAUGGCUGUUCGCCAUUUAAAGUGGUACGCGAGCUGGGUUUAGAACGUCGUGAGACAGUUCGGUCCCUAUCUGCCGUGGGCGCUGGAGAAUUGAGGGGGGCUGCUCCUAGUACGAGAGGACCGGAGUGGACGCAUCACUGGUGUUCGGGUUGUCAUGCCAAUGGCAUUGCCCGGUAGCUAAAUGCGGAAGAGAUAAGUGCUGAAAGCAUCUAAGCACGAAACUUGCCCCGAGAUGAGUUCUCCCUGACCCUUUAAGGGUCCUGAAGGAACGUUGAAGACGACGACGUUGAUAGGCCGGGUGUGUAAGCGCAGCGAUGCGUUGAGCUAACCGGUACUAAUGAACCGUGAGGCUUAACCUU